GGUGGCUCAGUGGUAGAGUGCCAGCCUUGCAUGCAUGAGGCCCUGGGUUCGAUUCCCAGCACCA
rnacentral:tRNA from 1 species